rnacentral:tRNA from 3 species
CCUUCGAUAGCUCAGCUGGUAGAGCGGAGGACUGUAGAUCCUUAGGUCGCUGGUUCGAUUCCGGCUCGGAGGA